rnacentral:rRNA from 1 species
UUCUCCAUCACGAUUC